AGGAGUCAGAGUGGAUGAGAACUCAGAGGAAGGCAGAGUUCUAGCCCAUUGUGAGAGCCUACCUGGCCCUGACCUCCCCACCAAGGCCCUUUCAGGACCCCGGGAGCCAAUCCUUGUGUCCUUAGCCCUCCUACCUCAGGUCCAGGGAAGGGGAACUAAUAUUUACUGAGCGCCUGGUACUCACUGGCCAUUUCCCACGUAUGAUGUCAUGUAAUCAUCAUCAUCACAGCCCUCUGGACCUGGGCUGCUGGCUCCCUUUGGAUCCUUGGUGCACCCCCCACCCCCCACAAAUCUUUAGACUACUCUGAGCCACAUUCAACCUCCCCAGUCUGGACAAGAUCUCCAAGGGAACCCACAGUUUCAGUCUUUCCCCAAGUGGAAAAGCCACUGCAGGCCCCAUCUGGACACAAGCAACAAGAUGCCAACCUCCAGAUUCAAGUUUCUUCAGAUUUUUUAAUUAUAAUUAUUAUUUUAAUAACAA